ACCUGCUUCCACAGUACAAACUAAAAUGGGAAGGAUACCGCGAUGAUCAGCAUGGCCCCUGUACUACAAUGACAUGAAUUUGUGAGGCAUUUCGCGUUGUU
rnacentral:snRNA from 2 species